rnacentral:lncRNA from 1 species
UCUUUAACAAAAAUGAGGCAACGUUAACUUAAAUACAAGGUUGUGUUUGUGGGUUGAGGCUAAGUGCAGGGAACUCCAGAUGAGAUUAGCAUUACUUAGGUGAAAGCAGCAGCAGUCAAGAUCUGGAUUUGGGGCCAAGGUAAAUAAGAAGUUGAAACAAGUUAUGGUUUUUACCAGUGCCAGCUCCGGUGUUUUGUGACCUUGCUGUCCCCAAGGAGAGCCGCACAGGCGUUCCGGUGCUGCGCUGGGUGCUGGUACUCACAGGACCACACUUCAUGCAAGAGGGCGCUCAGGCUCGGAAAAGUUUUGCUGAGGGUGUACAGCUCAAGGUAGCAAAUGUUCAAACUGGUGAGCUGGAAACUCUUUCUGUGGGGAUCUUUUGACAUUAGCUGCAAUGCGCUCUGUC